rnacentral:rRNA from 1 species
CAACCUCAAAUUAGGUGAGACUACCCGCCAAAUUUAAGCAUAUUAUUAAGCGGAGGAAAAGAAACUAACAAGGAUUUCCAUAGUAGCUGCGAGCGAACUGGAAAAAGCCCAGCACUGAAUCAUUAGUAUUUAAUACUAAUGAAAUGUAGUGUUUAAGAAGGUUUACUAUUCUAGAGUAUUUUGAUUUGUUCAAGUUUAUCUUGAAUGGGGCCAGGGUCCAAAGAAGGUGCCAGGCCUGUAGUAACAAUCAAAUGCUUUAGAAAAACCUUUCUUUAGAGUGCAACCUAAAGUGGGUGGUAAGCUCCAUCUAAGGCUAAAUAUGACCACGAGACCGAUAGCAAACAAGUACCGUGAGGGAAAGUUGAAAAGAACUUUGAAGAGAGAGUUCAAAAGUACGUGAAACCGUUUAGGGGUAAACAGAAAAGAACUGAAAAUCCGAAAAGAGAGAUUCACGUCCUCUCGUUAAUAGUUUAAAAUAAUUUUAGGAUAAUUAUCCGGCCUGUACACUAGUUGUAUUAGUGUUGUUAAUUUCCUAAUUUUAUAAUAAUAACUAAAACGGUGGACCGCAGUUCUCUCUAAGUAGGACGUCGCGACCCGCUAGCUUAUAAUUUAGGUUCAAGUUUUAUAGUCUAGCUUUAUAUUAUAUUAAAAUUAUAGUAAAAUAUAAUUUUUAUUUAUAUAGCUAGUUGACUUGUUACUAAUUAAAUAGCUGUCGGUAGAAGACGAUAGUGGUAAGCCGCUAUUACAAGCGUUUAACUAUUAUGAAACUUUAUUAAAAACCAUAAGUUAUACAAGGGUACUGGUUUACCAAUUUAUAACAUUAUGGUAUAAUAAAGUUUAUUAUUAUAAUCAAGUCUGUAGUUAAACUGUGCUUACAACACUAGUCGGCGGCGCUACAGUUUCAGUAACUUUUCUGACCCGUCGAAACACCCAAGGAGUCUAACAUGUGCGCAAGUCAUUGGGUGAUAAAACCUAAAGGCGUAACGAAAGUAAAGAAAGCUUUGCUUUAUAAGGAAGGAUGAUUAUAUUUUACUGUAUAUUGUUAAAAAAGAACACUUAAAAAAAAUACAGAUAGAUUAAAAAUACAUAGUUAAACAAAACUUGUACAUAUAACAUAUACAUAUUUCAUAUAUAAUCCGCACUUUCGGAGUGUCUGUUACUCAUUGCGAGUUAAGACGCACCAAGAGCGCACACGUUGGGUCCCGAAAGAUGGUGAACUAUGCCUGGCCAGGAUGAAGCCAGAGGAAACUCUGGUGGAGGUCCGUAGCGAUUCUGACGUGCAAAUCGAUCGUCAGAGCUAGGUAUAGGGGCGAUAGACCGAUCGAACCAUCUAGUAGCUGGUUCCCUCCGAAGUUUCCCUCAGGAUAGCUGGUACUUAUGAUAAAAAGAGUCUCAUCCGGUAAAGCGAAUGAUUAGAGGCCUUGGGGCCGAAACGACCUCAACCUAUUCUCAAACUUUAAAUGGAUGAGAGCCUUGGCUUGCUUAAAAAAUGAAGCCAGGGACUUGGAUCAAAGUGCCAAGUGGGCCAAUUUUGGUAAUGUGGGAUGAACCAAACGCAAAGUUAAGGCGCCCGAAUUAACGCUCAUGAGACCCCAUAAAAGGCGUUGGUUGCUUAAAACAGUAGGGCGGUGUCCAUGGAAGUCGGAACCCGCUAAGGAGUGUGUAAUAACUCACCUGCCGAAGCAACUAGCCCUGAAAAUGGAUGGCGCUGUAGCGUUAUGCCUAUACUUUGCCGUUAACGGCAAAAAAGCAAAUCAUUUUAUUAUGAUAUUAGCUAUUAUGCCUUAACGAGUAGGAGGGUCGCAGCGAUGAGCGUAGAAGGGUCUGGGCGUAAGCCUGCCUGGAGCCGUCGCUGGUGCAGAUCUUGGUGGUAGUAGCAAAUACUCCAGCGAGGCCCUGGAGGACUGUUGUGGAGAAGGGUUUCUUGUGAACAGCUGUUGCACAAGAGUCAGUCGAUCCUAAGCUCUAGGGGAAAUCCAAUGUUGAUUGGUGCCUUUAUAUUAUAUAAAUAAGAAGGCAUCUCUUGAGCGAAAGGGAAUCCGGUUCCUAUUCCGGAACCCGGUAGCGGAACCGUUCCAAAUCGAGCCCUCGCAAGAUGACUCGUCGGGGUAACCCAAAAAGACCCGGAGACGCCGUUGGAAGAUUCGGGGAGAGUUGUCUCUUCUCUAUAAGCGUUCGAGUUCCCUGGAAUCCUCUAGCAGGGAGAUAGGGUUUGGAACGCAAAGAGCACUGCAGUUACGGCGGUGUCCGAAUCUUUCCUUCGGACCUUGAAAAUCCGGGAGAGGGCCACGAGGAACCCCGCGCCGGAUCGUACCCAUAUCCGCAGCAGGUCUCCAAGGUGAAUAGCCUCUAGUCAAUAGAAUAAUGUAGGUAAGGGAAGUCGGCAAGUUCGAUCCGUAACUUCGGGAUAAGGAUUGGCUCUGAGGAUCGUGGCGUGCCGGGCUUGGUCGGGAAGUGGAGCGGUGUCAACGAGCCGGGCCUGGGCGAGGUAGUACAGAUA